GCGCCAGACUCCUACGGGAGGCAGCAGUGGGGAAUAUUGCACAAUGGGGGAAACCCUGAUGCAGCAACGCCGCGUGAGUGAAGAAGUCAUUCGUGAUGUAAAUCUCUAUCAGCAGGGAAGAAAAUGACGGUACCUGAAGAAGAAGCCCCGGCUAACUACGUGCCAGCAGCCGCGGUAAUACGUAGGGGGCAAGCGUUAUCCGGAUUUACUGGGUGUAAAGGGGGCGCAGACGGCGAUGCAAGCCAGGAGUGAAAGCCCGGGGCCCAACCCCGGGACUGCUCUUGGAACUGCGUGGCUAGAGUGCAGGAGGGGCAGGCGGAAUUCCUAGUGUAGCGGUGAAAUGCGUAGAUAUUAGGAGGAACACCAGUGGCGAAGGCGGCCUGCUGGACGAUGACUGACGUUGAGGCUCGAAAGCGUGGGGAGCAAACAGGAUUAGAUACCCCUGUAU
rnacentral:rRNA from 1 species